UAUUCUGGUGUCCUAGGCGUAGAGGAACCACACCAAUCCAUCCCGAAUUUGGUGGUUAAACUCUACUGCGGUGACGAUACUGUAGGGGAGGUCCUGCGGCAAAAUAGCUCGAUGCCAGAAUGAUAAAAAGCUUAACACCUCUUAUUUGACUUUUUCACUAUUUUGAAAUACGAAAAAGAUCCAAAUCCAAAACGCAAAGGUCGUCUUAUUCAAAACCUCAAUCAUCCCCUCUCUCCCACUUCACACCUCAGAACGCACUGUUCUUAUAGAGAAAGGCGCUUUCCCAUCUUCUUAACCCGAAAUGAAAUGGCUGAGGAGAAGAAGGUUCCUUUUGGGGGGUAUCCCCGGGAAGAGAUCCAGUGGAGACGGGGU
rnacentral:rRNA from 1 species